UACGUAGGGACCAAGCGUUGUUCGGAUUUACUGGGCGUAAAGGGCUCGUAGGUGGCCAACUAAGUCAGACGUGAAAUCCCUCGGCUUAACCGGGGAACUGCGUCUGAUACUGGAUGGCUUGAGGUUGGGAGAGGGAUGCGGAAUUCCAGGUGUAGCGGUGAAAUGCGUAGAUAUCUGGAGGAACACCGGUGGCGAAGGCGGCAUCCUGGACCAAUUCUGACGCUGAGGAGCGAAAGCCAGGGGAGCAAACGGG
rnacentral:rRNA from 1 species